rnacentral:miRNA from 1 species
AGGUAACUGUUGCAGCAUCC